AUCAGGAAAAAGAUCAGAUUAAACUACCAAAAUUUCACUAGCCAUGGAAGUUUUGGUUAGUGCAAGAAUCUGUCUCUGCUCUAAGACUGAAACAAGCUUUAUGUAACUACAGGAUGGAAAGUGUAUAUCUUUUAGCAGUGCAGAUAGACUGUGCAAGACGCAGAGUGGCUGGAGUUGGUGGUUGGUGGAGACCCGAGAUUGAAGAGGCCUGUGUGAGCGUACUGAAGACUAAGCACUCAGCAUGGAGUCAAAUCACCAGAACUUGACUGACUCACAAGAAGGUAGCCCUGUCCCAACUAGCUGAAGACUCAGCUUUAAGCAAAGAGUAAAAAGCAAGAUGACAAAAGCCCUCUGAAAAAUCACUGGCUUUCCAAUCCUUUCCUAAACCCACUAUGAGUGGUGGUUUCAGUAUCAUCAAUUACAUUUCUCACUUCUGAAUGUAUGAAGAAACCAACAGCCACUCCAGACCCUAGGUGCUUACGGCCUGGCGCUGACUUCCUCAGAAAGGAAAACAAGAGUCUACAUUUCAAUGACAAACCUGAACUGAAGGUAUCAAACAAGGUACAAGGAAUGGUUCAUCUCCCUUCUUCCUUGUGACUUUCCACCUCACGUGAACAAAGGAAUGCCAUUUUUUAAAUAGAAGGUUUAUGGGAUUGGUCUUUUUUUUUUUUUAACAUCCUUUUGUCUCAGUUGCAGUUUCCUAGAA